rnacentral:tRNA from 1 species
GCCCGGGUGGCGGAAUUGGCAGACGCGUCCGACUUAAGAUCGGAUACCGCAAGGUGUGUGGGUCCAAGUCCCACCCCGGGCACCA